rnacentral:rRNA from 1 species
GACGAACGCUGGCGGCGUGCUUAACACAUGCAAGUCGAACGGAAAGGCCCUGCUUUUGUGGGGGGCUCGAGUGGCGAAAGGGUGAGUAACACGUGAGUAACCUGCCCUUGACUUUGGGAUAACGUCAGGAAACUGGGGCUAAUACCGGAUAGGAGCUCCUGCUGCAUGGUGGGGGUUGGAAAGUUUCGGCGGUUGGGGAUGGACUCGCGGCUUAUCAGCUUGUUGGUGGGGUAGUGGCUUACCAAGGCUUUGACGGGUAGCCGGCCUGAGAGGGUGACCGGCCACAUUGGGACUGAGAUACGGCCCAGACUCCUACGGGAGGCAGCAGUGGGGAAUAUUGCACAAUGGGCGGAAGCCUGAUGCAGCAACGCCGCGUGCGGGAUGACGGCCUUCGGGUUGUAAACCGCUUUCGCCUGUGACGAGGCGUGAGUGACGGUAAUGGGUAAAGAAGCACCGGCUAACUACGUG